GAUGAACGCUGGCGGCGUGCCUAAUACAUGCAAGUCGAGCGAACAGAUAAGGAGCUUGCUCCUUUGACGUUAGCGGCGGACGGGUGAGUAACACGUGGGUAACCUACCUAUAAGACUGGAAUAACUCCGGGAAACCGGGGCUAAUGCCGGAUAACAUUUAGAACCGCAUGGUUCUAAAGUGAAAGAUGGUUUUGCUAUCACUUAUAGAUGGACCCGCGCCGUAUUAGCUAGCUGGUAAGGUAACGGCUUACCAAGGCAACGAUACGUAGCCGACCUGAGAGGGUGAUCGGCCACACUGGAACUGAGACACGGUCCAGACUCCUACGGGAGGCAGCAGUAGGGAAUCUUCCGCAAAGGGCGAAAGCCUGACGGAGCAACGCCGCGUGAGUGAUGAAGGUCUUCGGAUCGUAAAACUCUGCUAUUAGGGAAGAACAAAUGUGUAAGUAACUGUGCACGUCUUGACGGUACCUAAUCAGAAAGCCACGGCUAACUACGUG
rnacentral:rRNA from 1 species